AUUGAACGCUGGCGGAAUGCUUUACACAUGCAAGUCGAACGGCAGCACGGACUUCGGUCUGGUGGCGAGUGGCGAACGGGUGAGUAAUGUAUCGGAACGUGCCCAGUCGUGGGGGAUAACGUAGUGAAAAUUACGCUAAUACCGCAUACGAUCUAUGGAUGAAAGCGGGGGAUCGCAAGACCUCGCGCGAUUGGAGCGGCCGAUAUCAGAUUAGGUAGUUGGUGGGGUAAAGGCCCACCAAGCCAACGAUCUGUAGCUGGUCUGAGAAGACGACCAGCCGCACUGGAACUGAGACACGGUCCAGACUCCUACGGGAGGCAGCAGUGGGGAAUUUUGGACAAUGGGCGAAAGCCUGAUCCAGCCAUUCCGCGUGCAGGAUGAAGGCCCUCGGGUUGCAAACUGCUUUUGUACAGAACGAAAAGGUUUCUACUAAUACUAGGAGCUCAUGACGGUACUGUAAGAAUAAGCACCGGCUAACUACGUGCCAGCCGCCGCCGUAA
rnacentral:rRNA from 1 species